GAUGAACGCUGGCGGCGUGCCUAACACAUGCAAGUCGAGCGGCAGCGAGGGGUGCUUGCACCCUGUCGGCGAGCGGCGGACGGCUGAGUAACGCGUGGGAACGUGCCCCAAAGUGAGGAAUAACUGCCCGAAAGGGUAGCUAAUACCGCAUAUUAUCUUCGGAUCAAAGGAUUUAUCCGCUUUGGGAGCGGCUCGCGUCGGAUUAGGUAGUUGGUGAGGUAAUGGCUCACCAAGCCGACGAUCCGUAGCUGUUCUGAGAGGAUGACCAGCCAGACUGGAACUGAGACACGGUCCAGACUCCUACGGGAGGCAGCAGUGAGGAAUCUUCCACAAUGGGCGAAAGCCUGAUGGAGCAACGCCGCGUGCAGGACGAAGGCCUUCGGGUUGUAAACUGCUUUUAUAAGUGAGGAAUAUGACGGUAACUUAUGAAUAAGGAGCGGCUAACUACGUG
rnacentral:rRNA from 1 species